AUGAACGCUGGCGGCGUGUUUAAGGCAUGCAAGUCGUGGGAUCGGCUUUUUUAUUCUUCGGAAUUUUGAAGUACGGACCGGCAAACGGGUGAGUAACACAUUGGUAACCUACCUUCGAGUUGGGCAUAGACCCGGGAAACCGGGAUUAAUACCCAAUAGUCAUGAGGGGUCGUAAGACAUUCUCAUGUAAAGAUUUAUCGCUCGAAGAGGGGCCUAUGGCUGAUUAGCUUGUUGGUAGGGUAAAGGCCUACCAAGGCUAUGAUCAGUAGCAGGCGUGAGAGCGUGACCUGCCUCACUGGGACUGAGACACUGCCCAGACUCCUACGGGAGGCUGCAGUCGAGAAUAUUCCACAAUGGACGAAAGUCUGAUGGAGCGACGCCGCGUGCAGGAAGACGCCCUUCGGGGUGUAAACUGCUUUUCUGAAGGACGAAUUCGUGACGGUACUUCAGGAAUAAGAGGUUGCUAACUCUGUGCCAGCAGCAGCGGUAAUACAGAGACCUCGAGCGUUAUCCGGAUUCAUUGGGCGUAAAGCGUCCGCAGGUGGUGUGAUAAGUCACUGGUUAAAUUUUCAGGCUUAACUUGGAAACUGCUAUUGAUACUGUCACACUUGAGACUGGGAGAGGUAAGCGGAACACACGGUGUAGUCGUAAUAAGCGCUGAUAUCGUGUGGAACACCAAAGGCGAAGGCAGCUUACUGGAACAGUUUCUGACACUAAUGGACGAAAGCGUGGGUAGCGAAGGGGAUUAGAUACCCCCGUAGUCCACGCCGUAAACGAUGUCUACUAGGUAUUGGGAGUAUCGACCCUCUCAGUGCCGUCGAAAAAAGCUAACGCGUUAAGUAGACCGCCUGGGGAGUACGAUCGCAAGGUUAAAACUCAAAGGAAUAGACGGGGACCCGCACAAGCGGUGGAUCAUGUGGUUUAAUUCGAUGAUACGCGGCGAACCUUACCAAGGCUUGAUAUAUAACUGCAAGCUUCCCGAAAGGGAAGCCUCUUUCGAAGGUGUUAUACAGGUGCUGCAUGGUUGCCGUCAGCUCGUGCCGUGAGGUGUACCGUUAAGUCGGGAAACGAGCGCAACCCUCGCCGUAUGUUAAAUGUACAUGCGGGACUGCCGGCGCAAGCCGGAGGAAGGUGAGGACGACGUCAAAUCAGCAUGGCUCUUACGCCUUGGGCUACACACAUGAUACAAUGGCCGGUACAAUGGGUUGCCAACCCGCGAGGGGGAGCUAAUCCCAUCAAAGCCGGUCUCAGUUCAGAUUGCAGGCUGCAAUUCGCCUGCAUGAAGUUGGAAUCGCUAGUAAACGCGCAUCAGCCACGGCGCGUUGAAUACGUUCUCGGGUCUUGUACUCACCGCCC
rnacentral:rRNA from 1 species